rnacentral:rRNA from 1 species
UACAGAGGUGGCAAGCGUUGUUCGGAAUUACUGGGCGUAAAGGGCGCGUAGGCGGUCUUUUAAGUCUUGUGUGAAAUCCCUCGGCUCAACUGAGGAACUGCACGGGAUACUGGAAGACUUGAGUUCGGGAGAGGGAAGCGGAAUUCCGGGUGUAGCGGUGAAAUGCGUAGAUAUCCGAAGGAACAUCAGUGGCGAAAGCGGCUUCCUGGACCAGAACUGACGAUCAGGCACGAAAGCGUGGGGAGCAAACAGG